rnacentral:lncRNA from 1 species
AAGAGACAGCGCCGCCGGCCGUGGGGAGCGGACGCAGCGAUUUGCUCCCCUUCGCGCAGCAACCCCCACACCCAGCACCAGGAGCCUGUUCCUCUCACACCCUCACCUGGCUGAGCCGCAGUAGUUCUUCAGUGGCAAGCUUUAUGUCCUGACCCAGCUAAAGCUGCCAGUUGAAGAACUGUUGCCCUCUGCCCCUGGCUUCGAGGAGGAGGAGGAGCUGCUUUCCCCAUCAUCUGGAAGGUGACAGAAAUGGGCUGGGAAGGUCCGAACAGCAGGGUUGAUGAUACGUUUUGGGAAAGUUGUAGAGCCUUUGCCCAGAUUGGCCCAGCAAGGAGCGGUUUUAGAUUAGAGACACUGGCUGAAUUGAGGAGUAGAAGGCUCAAACAACCCAAGGUGGUAUGUGAUCCCCAGCUCAGGCCUGUGCAGACAGGAAAUUCUCCGCUGCAGCAAGUAGGGGAGGUGGGUUGUGGGAUGUGACCUCCUUCUGGAUAUCAGGCGGUGAGUGUAAACCUGCCACCUCCAGCCCUGAUCCAUUCUCACCUAGCGGCUACAGGAAGCUGUGUCUGUUCG